AUUUAGGUGCUUCUCAGCACCAUUCAAUAUUCCUCAGUUAGAAUUCU
rfam:Rattus norvegicus chromosome 18, whole genome shotgun sequence.